UACAGAGGAGCCAAGCGUUGUCCGGAUUGACUGGGCGUAAAGCGCACGCAGGCGGAUGCGCGCGUGGGGUGUGAAAUCUGGCCGCUUAACGGCCAGGCGCCAUCCCAUACGGCGCGUCUGGAGUGAUGCAGAGGUCGGUGGAAUUGCCGGUGUAGUGGUGAAAUGCGUAGAGAUCCGGAGGAACCCCAGAGGCGAAGGCGGCGC
rnacentral:rRNA from 1 species